GAACGUUAAAGACUAUGACGUUGAUAGGCCGGGUGUGUAAGCGCAGCGAUGCGUUGAGCUAACCGGUACUAAUGAACCGUGAGGCUUAACCUUACAACGCCGAAG
rnacentral:rRNA from 1 species